rnacentral:rRNA from 1 species
UAAACUGGUGCCCCUGCCAGGGAUUAGAGCUUGACAAGCAAUCAUGCUUUUCUCUUAUGCUCUGCCUCUUAUUCGUUUAUAAUUUUUUUUAAUUCUGGUGUUUCAGGCGUCGAGGAACCACACCAAUCCAUUUCGAAUUUGGUGGUUAAACUCUACUGCGGUGACGAUACUGUAGGGGAAGCCCUGCGGAAAAAUAGCUCGAUGCCAGGAU